rnacentral:rRNA from 1 species
GAGCGGUAACAGGCGUAGCAAUACGCGCUGACGAGCGGCGAACGGGUGAGUAAUGCUUCGGAAUCUGCCCAAUGGUGGGGAAUAACCAGCCGAAAGGUUGGCUAAUACCGCAUACGUCCUAAGGGGGAAAGCAGGGGAUCGUAAGACCUUGCGCCGAUGGAUGAGCCGAAGUCGGAUUAGCUGGUUGGUAGGGUAACGGCCUACCAAGGCGACGAUCCGUAGCUGGUCUGAGAGGACGACCAGCCACACUGGGACUGAGACACGGCCCAGACUCCUACGGGAGGCAGCAGUGGGGAAUAUUGGACAAUGGGGGCAACCCUGAUCCAGCGACGCCGCGUGUGUGAAGAAGGCCUGCGGGUUGUAAAGCACUUUUAGUGGGGAUGAAAAGCUCCGUUCUAAUACAGCGGGGUCUUGACCUAACCCAAAGAAAAAGCACCGGCUAACUCUGUG